rnacentral:rRNA from 1 species
CAGGACGAACGCUGGCGGCGUGCUUAACACAUGCAAGUCGAACGGAGUUAAGCGCUGAAUGAAGCUUCGGCAGAUUCUUGCUUAACUAGUGGCGGACGGGUGAGUAACGCGUGAGUAACCUGCCCUCGAGUGGGGAAUAACGUUCUGAAAAAGAACGCUAAUACCGCAUAACAUACAGGAGCCGCAUGACUCUUGUAUCAAAGAUUUAUUGCUCGAGGAUGGACUCGCGUCCGAUUAGCUAGUUGGUGAGGUAACGGCCCACCAAGGCGACGAUCGGUAGCCGGACUGAGAGGUUGAACGGCCACAUUGGGACUGAGACACGGCCCAGACUCCUACGGGAGGCAGCAGUGGGGGAUAUUGCGCAAUGGGGGAAACCCUGACGCAGCAACGCCGCGUGGAGGAUGACGGUUUUCGGAUUGUAAACUCCUUUUAUAAGGGACGAACUAAGACGGUACCUUAUGAAUAAGCUCCGGCUAACUACGUGCCAGCCGCCGC